CCCAGCGAUGAUUUAAAAGUUCAGAAGGUUGAGAUUAAGAUACCCAAAGGAGGUUCCACACAGACUUUCUCAUGACCAAUCAAAGAAUUGGUACCAGGUGGUACGGUGCUAUGAGUGACUUAUGCAAGAGUACCAGGUGGUACGGUGCUAUGGCGGGGAGAAUGCCGCUAUAACUGUUAACUUGCCACUGUAGACUACAGGACUUUAGCCAUCUGUUAUUGGACUUCAUGUUUUAUUGUUCAUUUACUGCAUACCUUCUUUGUUUUGCAGGUAUCUCGUAUUUAUGGUCUACACACCAGUAUUAUUUUCCAAUGUUUUCU